rnacentral:misc_RNA from 1 species
AACGCAUAUUGCGCCCACUAGUAUUCUGGUGGGCAUGCCUAUUCGAGCGUCAUUUCAACCCUUAAGCCCUGUUGCUUAGUGUUAGGAGCCUACUACCUUACGGCGUAGCUCCCUAAAGGCAGUGGCGGUGUUAGGUACACUCGUAGCGUAGUAAUUCUUUUUUCUCGCUCCUGCUGUGUACCUAGGGCCUGCCGUAAAACCCCUAUACUUCUAGUGGUUGACCUCGGAUUAGGUAGGAAUACCCGCUGAACUUAA